GUUUCAGUGUGAACUUGACUAUACUUGAACCAGCAGGCAGUCAAGAAGGUAAGAAGGAAGUACAGUGGGUUGUGUUGCUCCAGCAUAGUUCUGUGGACAGUGGCAGGGCUUGUGUGUAACUUUGAAGACUGGAGUCAUGAGAAAGUACUAGAAUAUUUCAGAGUGGACUGUGGAUAUCUCAUUAGCCACAACCAAGAUGUGGUGGUAGGUUCAAGGUUGGAGGAGGUGGUGGUAGUGGCAGCAGUGCUUGGGGCACAGUAAAAAUGAGAGAUGGGUUGUGAGACCAGAUUUUGGGGGGUGGGGGAUACAAAGUGAGAUUUCUUUCCAUGACUGAGGGCACUGGACCUUCUUAACAAAACAAACCCCUCUAAAUUGAUUAAUUUUUCUCAUGUAUUCCUCUUCCCCACAAUAAGUUACCUUAACUUAUUAACUUAACUUCUGCUGAACUCAGGCACUGCAUCUGCUAAAUCUGGGUAACAGGUUCAUCUUAAUCCAGAGAGAUCAGAUUGGCUGCCCCUAUUGUCAUUUACAGGCACCUUGUCCAUCUAUAGGACCCCACAAGCUGAGGGAGUAUCUCCCCUCAUAAUCUGUCUCAGAAAGAGACUCAAGUAUCCACUGACUGGAGAUGAGGUAAAGAAGAUGUGCAUGCAGCACUUCGUCAGAAUUGACAGCAACGUUUGAACUCACUUCACAUACCCUGUUGGAUUCAUGGGCAGUAAGAGUUCCUUCUUUAUGUUGAAGAAGAAACAGGUUGAGAGAAAAAAAAGGUAUACCAGUUAUGUGGUCAGAGUUAUAGCUAUGUUUUCCCACUUUGUUUGGUGGUGAUGUAACCAUUCUUGUCAGAUCUCCAAAGACAUACUGGGGGCUUGUGGUAGGGGUGAGCAGAGGAAGGCAAGAAAGCUCACACCCAUCUGGGAAGGAGAUGAGGUGAGAGAGGUGGUAGGGAAAGGGACUCAGGAAUUCUGUCCUGGUCUCUUGACCACCCUUUCUACCCACAGUGACAGGUUCAAUACUUCUUAGCACCUUUUUAACCUGGCAGUAUCUCGAAAGGUAGGGGUUCUUGCUUUAUCAGGGGCCUAGAGGCUAAGUGGACGAUGCAGUCUCAGAUCAAGCCUUCCUCCAGUAUCUAGCUGCUUAGUUAGAAAAGAUCUUUCUUUUCUUCAUUUUUGUUGUUGUUGCUGCAUUCUGUCUCUUUCCUUCUGAGGACCCCAAACCCAGAGGCAGGACUCUGGAUGAGCGAGGGCGUAGAGGGAAUACAUGGGUCAAGCUGCUGUAUAGGAAGUGUGACAAGCCUUGCUUACUCAUAUGGAAGGGUUGUGCAUUCAUUUGUUUGCAUGUGCAUGCACGUGUGUGUGUGUGCUGGUGUAUAUGUGUGUGCCCACAGGGGCCUGCGAGUGCAGGUGUCUCUCUUCUUGUGAUCCUGAGUGCAUUAACCCAAGGUGGUCUCAAAUGGCCACUGUACAAAAUCACAAGAAUUGGUAGAGCAACCAUAAAUGUAGUCACUUUCCUUUAUGGCGUCUACCCAGACAGGUCCAGGGGCUGAUUCUUUUCAUUCAAGCACACUCAUCACAUAUCUGGAACAGCCACACUAGUAAAAUAUUCUCAUGUUGGGUAUGGCAUAGUGUGCUCCUGCUGCCGAGGCAAAAGCAUCUUUGCAUUAAUGAUGUCCAUUGUACCCUAUCUGUGAUCAGAUGUUAUGAGCACUGAGAAGACAGGAGAGCCUUUCCCCCUGCUCUAUGGCACCAUGGGCCUUUUUGCCCUUCACCAUAUCACAGUGGAAGAGGCAAAGGCAAUGUGCCUACAGUGAUCGGUAGGGCCAACCUCAGCCAUGAUGUGAUCACCAACAGAGAAAGACCUCCUGGUUCCUUUGAUAUAGUGCACUUGAAGGAUGCAAAUGGCAACAGCUUUGCCAUGAAGAUUUACAACAUUUUGGUCAGUGGCAAAUUUGUGUCUUCCGACGAAGGUUGAGGAUUGCGGGAGUGAAUGAACAAAUGCAUGUGAAAGCCCUGUAAAACCAGGCGUACGAGGAGUACGCAGUUCUCCACUUCAAAAUUGUAAGGCUCCGAGGCUGUUGGCCUUGUCUUUUGCGGCACUGUUAGUGCGUCUCAAGAGAAAGGUGCUCAUCCUAUGUUUGCUAGCGUAUGAUGUUGCUUGACACAGAGUAGAAGCAGGAAGACCUGUACGUUCAGCAGCCUAACAUGGGGAGUGGAAGGCGGCUGGCUGUGAGGGGCAGAUGUCUUCUCAAGUAAUACGUAUAGCGAAAUUUCAGUUUGGUGGCUUCCAUUAGCUGGUCCUUAGGUAAGGACUGGUGAGAGGCUUUGCUUUGGAGGGUGACUUCCCUCUUUCCUUUAUUUACUUACUUUACCCCCUCCUGUGUUGCAGGGUAAUCAACCUUGGAUUUCCCUGCCCAGGAGAAAGGGCAUCCCAGGAUAACAUUGCUGAAGAAAGACCACGAGGCUGACCGCUAAACAGAACAGUGGCUAACUGCAGUAGGGUAGACCUUCUUUGGUGAGAUAAGCACUGAAUUCUAGUUUCCUAAUGUGGUUUCUUUCUUGCGGAUAAUAGUGGUAUUUACAGGACUUUGAAUUUUUAUCACGGUGCUCGCACCAUUUUGGGAACAUUAGGGAUACCACCUAUACUUCCUCUGCCCCUCCAGGAAUAAGCCUUUCUUCCAUUUUUGCUUCUCUCACACAUGCACCACCACCCUCUCCAAGGGCAGGUCACCAGCAAUCACAUCACAAAACUGUCCAAAAAAAGCCACAUGUGCCAUGUGUGGCUGCCUGGAGAGCUAGCAUUUGUGGAACCUCAGAGCCAUAAAAGAAAAAGACAUGUACUCAUGGGUUAGGGGGAGACUAAAAUAAUCAUUUUUACUUGCUUUAUCAGGGGCAUUCUUAAGUGAAACUUGCUUUUACUUAUUUACUUAGUUUUACUGAGAAUGUGUGAUAGUGAAGAUUACGAACAGGGACAGGAACAGUGCGGUGCUGCUAUCUCAAUCCUUCCUUGAUGGAGACCUCGAAGUCUCAGGACAACCUGCGCUCUCGCACCAUCAGGUGCAAGUAAGCAUCAGCAUGGUGGAAAGGGCAGAUAGCAUUUUAGUACUAUCAAAAUAAUUAUUUUACUUCCUUUAUCCCUGGAAAAGUUCUUGGGGUUACAGUAAUGGCAUUUUAGUAACAUCUAGAAGUUAAUAUUCUUCGAGUAGCUGCUGACAUCAUAGGGAGAAGAUCAAGAAGACAUCAUGUACAUCUCAGGACACAAUACAACUCAUGAAGAAAUUAUGUGUGUGUGUGUGUGUGUGUGUGAUUACAUAUAUGAGUAUGUUCUGAAUGCUAUCAGGCAGAUCCAAUAAUAUGUAAGAAAGAAGAGACACUUUAAAGGACACCAUAGCAUGGACAAACCGCACAGCAAUAAAAAUGCAUUGAACAACAUGGAAGAGUGUCACUGAAGUGUUUUGGAAAGAAG
ensembl:lncRNA